rnacentral:lncRNA from 1 species
GCCGGAUCGACAUAGAGCACGACAUAGUUGCCGAGGGCGCGCUCGUCAGGCGGCGGCUUUGGUCCGCGGCCAAAGUCGACCCAAAGGCGGCCGACGCCCACGGGAUGCGCCACGGCACGCACCUGGCGGUCGUCGCACUCGUUGGCGACGUCAAUCGCUGUUGAAUUCGGACGCGGCGUAUAGGUGGCGCGCGGUGUAGAGGAGGUCGCGCACGCAUUCUCAUAGGGCACGGGCAGACGCGCCGCCUCGUACCACGUGCCCGCCCAGCGCCGCCAGUCCACGUCGACCGGCGCCGGCGUCGAUGGUCCGUGCCGCACGGGCGAACCGAUCAUGGAUGCCAACAGUGGUGACGACUCGUCGGGCACCCUGCGCAUCGCCGCAGCCGCCAUGGAACCGCCAAAUCCGGGCCAUCUCUGCCACCAUCGCCGACCUUUGUCUCCAACAACGGCGACCGUGCCUGUGGCGUCGGUGCGAUCGUCGUGGUGCCACGUCGUCAUUGCAAACUGCCCGUCGCUCUUUUUUUCCCCUUUUGCGCCACCAUUGCGUCACUCUCCCGUGACGAUGCUCGCGGCGACGAGCCCCCUUUUUUUUCUACUCGCCGCUUGCGCCAUGCUCGCCCCGAGCCGUGUUUGUACACGGUGGCGGUCCAACUUUAAACAAGAACAAGCGCC